UCCGCCACACUGGGACUGAGACACGGCCCAGACUCUACGGGAGGCAGCAGUGGGGAAUUUUGGACAAUGGGCGCAAGCCUGAUCCAGCCAUGCCGCGUGUCUGAAGAAGGCCUUCGGGUUGUAAAGGACUUUUGUCAGGGAGGAAAUCCCUAGCGCUAAUAUCGCUGGGGGAUGACAGUACCUGAAGAAUAAGCACCGGCUAACAACGUGCCAGCAGCCGCGGUAAUACGUAGGGUGCAAGCGUUAAUCGGAAUUACUGGGCGUAAAGCGUGCGCAGGCGGUUGUGUAAGUCUGAUGUGAAAGCCCCGGGCUUAACCUGGGAACUGCAUUGGAGACUGCACGGCUAGAGUGCGUCAGAGGGGGGUAGAAUUCCGCGUGUAGCAGUGAAAUGCGUAGAGAUGCGGAGGAAUACCGAUGGCGAAGGCAGCCCCCUGGGAUGACACUGACGCUCAUGCACGAAAGCGUGGGGAGCAAACAGGAUUAGAUACCCUGGUAGUCCACGCCCUAAAC
rnacentral:rRNA from 1 species